UCCUCAGCCAUCAACAAACUCCAACUAUGACAGAUUUCAGACUGAUGACCAUCGGCAUAUCAAAGUUACCGACCGAUACUCAUUCAGAUUUCCACAACUACCGACAUACGAUAGACAUAUUUUAAUUACCAACAUAUAGUCGGCUUAUCAGAAACUGCCAGCGCAGAAGAUACAUAUGGCUAGAACAUGAUUAAUGACGGGUAUAACCAUCCAUCCCA
rnacentral:lncRNA from 1 species